rnacentral:pre_miRNA from 1 species
CUUCUAACCAUAGCCAAAAUCGGCGAUACGGCUUGAUUUUGGUCGGUGGUUAGAGUCA